rnacentral:rRNA from 1 species
GGUUAAGCGACUAAGCGUACACGGUGGAUGCCCUGGCAGUCAGAGGCGAUGAAGGACGUGCUAAUCUGCGAUAAGCGUCGGUAAGGUGAUAUGAACCGUUAUAACCGGCGAUUUCCGAAUGGGGAAACCCAGUGUGUUUCGACACACUAUCAUUAACUGAAUCCAUAGGUUAAUGAGGCGAACCGGGGGAACUGAAACAUCUAAGUACCCCGAGGAAAAGAAAUCAACCGAGAUUCCCCCAGUAGCGGCGAGCGAACGGGGAGCAGCCCAGAGCCUGAAUCAGUGUGUGUGUUAGUGGAAGCGUCUGGAAAGGCGCGCGAUACAGGGUGACAGCCCCGUACACAAAAAUGCACAUGCUGUGAGCUCGAUGAGUAGGGCGGGACACGUGGUAUCCUGUCUGAAUAUGGGGGGACCAUCCUCCAAGGCUAAAUACUCCUGACUGACCGAUAGUGAACCAGUACCGUGAGGGAAAGGCGAAAAGAACCCCGGCGAGGGGAGUGAAAAAGAACCUGAAACCGUGUACGUACAAGCAGUGGGAGCACGCUUAGGCGUGUGACUGCGUACCUUUUGUAUAAUGGGUCAGCGACUUAUAUUCUGUAGCAAGGUUAACCGAAUAGGGGAGCCGAAGGGAAACCGAGUCUUAACUGGGCGUUAAGUUGCAGGGUAUAGACCCGAAACCCGGUGAUCUAGCCAUGGGCAGGUUGAAGGUUGGGUAACACUAACUGGAGGACCGAACCGACUAAUGUUGAAAAAUUAGCGGAUGACUUGUGGCUGGGGGUGAAAGGCCAAUCAAACCGGGAGAUAGCUGGUUCUCCCCGAAAGCUAUUUAGGUAGCGCCUCGUGAAUUCAUCUCCGGGGGUAGAGCACUGUUUCGGCAAGGGGGUCAUCCCGACUUACCAACCCGAUGCAAACUGCGAAUACCGGAGAAUGUUAUCACGGGAGACACACGGCGGGUGCUAACGUCCGUCGUGAAGAGGGAAACAACCCAGACCGCCAGCUAAGGUCCCAAAGUCAUGGUUAAGUGGGAAACGAUGUGGGAAGGCCCAGACAGCCAGGAUGUUGGCUUAGAAGCAGCCAUCAUUUAAAGAAAGCGUAAUAGCUCACUGGUCGAGUCGGCCUGCGCGGAAGAUGUAACGGGGCUAAACCAUGCACCGAAGCUGCGGCAGCGACGCUUAUGCGUUGUUGGGUAGGGGAGCGUUCUGUAAGCCUGCGAAGGUGUGCUGUGAGGCAUGCUGGAGGUAUCAGAAGUGCGAAUGCUGACAUAAGUAACGAUAAAGCGGGUGAAAAGCCCGCUCGCCGGAAGACCAAGGGUUCCUGUCCAACGUUAAUCGGGGCAGGGUGAGUCGACCCCUAAGGCGAGGCCGAAAGGCGUAGUCGAUGGGAAACAGGUUAAUAUUCCUGUACUUGGUGUUACUGCGAAGGGGGGACGGAGAAGGCUAUGUUGGCCGGGCGACGGUUGUCCCGGUUUAAGCGUGUAGGCUGGUUUUCCAGGCAAAUCCGGAAAAUCAAGGCUGAGGCGUGAUGACGAGGCACUACGGUGCUGAAGCAACAAAUGCCCUGCUUCCAGGAAAAGCCUCUAAGCAUCAGGUAACAUCAAAUCGUACCCCAAACCGACACAGGUGGUCAGGUAGAGAAUACCAAGGCGCUUGAGAGAACUCGGGUGAAGGAACUAGGCAAAAUGGUGCCGUAACUUCGGGAGAAGGCACGCUGAUAUGUAGGUGAAGUCCCUCGCGGAUGGAGCUGAAAUCAGUCGAAGAUACCAGCUGGCUGCAACUGUUUAUUAAAAACACAGCACUGUGCAAACACGAAAGUGGACGUAUACGGUGUGACGCCUGCCCGGUGCCGGAAGGUUAAUUGAUGGGGUUAGCGCAAGCGAAGCUCUUGAUCGAAGCCCCGGUAAACGGCGGCCGUAACUAUAACGGUCCUAAGGUAGCGAAAUUCCUUGUCGGGUAAGUUCCGACCUGCACGAAUGGCGUAAUGAUGGCCAGGCUGUCUCCACCCGAGACUCAGUGAAAUUGAACUCGCUGUGAAGAUGCAGUGUACCCGCGGCAAGACGGAAAGACCCCGUGAACCUUUACUAUAGCUUGACACUGAACAUUGAGCCUUGAUGUGUAGGAUAGGUGGGAGGCUUUGAAGUGUGGACGCCAGUCUGCAUGGAGCCGACCUUGAAAUACCACCCUUUAAUGUUUGAUGUUCUAACGUUGACCCGUAAUCCGGGUUGCGGACAGUGUCUGGUGGGUAGUUUGACUGGGGCGGUCUCCUCCUAAAGAGUAACGGAGGAGCACGAAGGUUGGCUAAUCCUGGUCGGACAUCAGGAGGUUAGUGCAAUGGCAUAAGCCAGCUUGACUGCGAGCGUGACGGCGCGAGCAGGUGCGAAAGCAGGUCAUAGUGAUCCGGUGGUUCUGAAUGGAAGGGCCAUCGCUCAACGGAUAAAAGGUACUCCGGGGAUAACAGGCUGAUACCGCCCAAGAGUUCAUAUCGACGGCGGUGUUUGGCACCUCGAUGUCGGCUCAUCACAUCCUGGGGCUGAAGUAGGUCCCAAGGGUAUGGCUGUUCGCCAUUUAAAGUGGUACGCGAGCUGGGUUUAGAACGUCGUGAGACAGUUCGGUCCCUAUCUGCCGUGGGCGCUGGAGAACUGAGGGGGGCUGCUCCUAGUACGAGAGGACCGGAGUGGACGCAUCACUGGUGUUCGGGUUGUCAUGCCAAUGGCACUGCCCGGUAGCUAAAUGCGGAAGAGAUAAGUGCUGAAAGCAUCUAAGCACGAAACUUGCCCCGAGAUGAGUUCUCCCUGACUCCUUGAGAGUCCUGAAGGAACGUUGAAGACGACGACGUUGAUAGGCCGGGUGUGUAAGCGCAGCGAUGCGUUGAGCUAACCGGUACUAAUGAACCGUGAGGCUUAACCUU